rnacentral:RNase_P_RNA from 1 species
CCAGAUAAAUGACUUAUCGCUUUUAAAAUUAAAGAGGAAAGUCCGGGCUCCGCAAGGAUACAGUGCCAGGUAACACCUGGCGGGGGCAACCCUAGGGACAGUGCCACAGAAAAUAAACCGCCAUAACAUGGCAAGGGUGAAAAGGUGUGGUAAGAGCACACCGGUUCUAUUGGUAACAAUGAACGCUGGAAAACCCCACUGGGAGCAAGACUAAGUAGAGGUGACAUUGUUAAAAAACUAAAAGCCAUCCUUGGCUAGUCACUUGGGUUAGUCGCUUGAGUCUGAAAGAGAUUUCAGAUCUAGAGAAAUGGUAAGUUUAAAAGACAGAACCCGGCUUAUAGUUUAUCUGGCAAU